GAAAUGCGAUACGUAAUGUGAAUUGCAGAAUUCAGUGAAUCAUCGAAUCUUUGAACGCAUAUUGCACUCUCUGGUAUUCCGGAGAGUAUGCCUGUUUCAGUAUCAAUAAAACCUCGAACCCCUUCUCUCUCUCUUGGGCUUGGGAAGGAAAUCGGAAAUGGGUCAUUUUGAACACCUUUUUUUUUUGGUGUUCUAACCUGAAAUACAAUCGCGAUCUGGAGCCAUUUGGAAGGCGUCAUAGUUGGCCGUCAGGUCAUCUUUUGCCGAAAUCCUUUUGUGUUCCAUAUUGAUUGCGCGCCACAUUUUUUUUUUUUAAAUUGAUCUGAAAUCAGGUAGGAUUACCCGCUGAACUUAA
rnacentral:misc_RNA from 1 species